rnacentral:rRNA from 1 species
AAUUUUUAAUCAUUUUAUUAAAAUUAAUAAAAUUACAUUUAAAUCCUUUUUCAAUUAAAUAAUUUCAAUUUAAUAUUCAUUUAAAUAAAUUUAUUGUAAUUCAUUUAUUCUAAAUUAUUAAUUACAUCUUGAUUUGAUUUAAUUUUUUAUUUAAAAUUUUAAAUAUUAUAAAUUUAUAAAAAAUAUUUUUUUAACAAUGAUAUAUAAAUUUAUAAAUUAAGUAAAUUAAUUCGUGGAUUAUCAAUUAUUAAACAAAUUCCUCUAAAUAAAAUAAAAUACUGCCAAAUUAUUUAAGUUUCAUAUAAUAAUAUUAAUUACUAUUUUAAUAUUAAACUAUUUAAUUUAUAUAAUAGGG